AGUUUUCUGAAUCCGUGCCGACAUUUCGUCAGAAACCAGACCAUCACGACUGAUGAGACUCACACGAUAUGUGAACCG
rfam:Schistosoma mattheei strain Denwood, Zambia genome assembly, scaffold: SMTD_contig0017655